GUGCUCACUUCGGCAGCAUAUAUACCAAAACUGGAACUAUGCAAAGAAGAUCAGCAUGGCCCCUGCGCAAGGAUGACAUGCAAAUCCAUGAAGCGUUCCAUAUUUAA